UAAGGGUAUAAGAAAACGCAUUAAAAAAAUCCUGACCUCCUAAGAGCUUAGAGAAAGGGAUGUAAAGGGAGAAAUAUAUAUAGAAAUAUCUAUGACUGCAAGAUAGAGUGUAAUAUGAGCCACGAGCAAGGCAAGAAUAAAGCACUGACUUGGGUGGGGACGGCCACACGGGGCGCUGAGGGCUGAGGCGCCGGGGCAGAAGAGAGCAGGAGGAGGCCCCCCUCUCAGGCAGAGCCAGAGGAGGGUCCUGCAGAACGGCGAAAACCCAGGAGAGCCCAAGGGAAGGUGCUACCCCCAGACACGGCGCCCUGACGGAGGAAGGCCUGGAGCAUCAAAGGCAUCUGGAGUCCAACUGGAGGGCAAAGGGGAGUCACCGAGGCAGCAGUGAGAAUGCAGGACGAGGUUCAGAGAGUCAUUAAAGGGCGGCUCAUCUGAGGAGUCCCGGCGGACCCUUGGCACUGAGGGGGUACACUCCUCAGUUUAAUUUUCUGCGCGCCUUCACGGGUGAAGGCCACCUGGAGGAGGCACCGGUCGGCACCCAACAACUAUGAGUUCAAGUUCUGACUCUGCUUUAGAGCUGUGCACUGAGGUGCCUCUGGUGAACCCCCAGACCUGUGAUCUUUCAUGUUACCUUCUGCACUUGAAGAUGAUAGGCAAUUAAUGGCUACGUGGCUUAUUCACUCUAGCUUCUUAAGUUGGUUAUAUCCCAGAGAAGACUACGUUUCCCAGCCUCAGGCAGAGCCAUAUUACUAGUUUUGGCCAGCGCACUCUGAGAAGAGAUGCUCUACCAGCUCUGACCCUGGCCAAGGUUGUCUAUAUACAUGAGGAAGAACCUCCAAGCUUUCAUGCUGGUGAUUGUUUCACAUUUGCCAAAAGGGUGGGAUUUCAUCAGCAACAGUAGUGCAUCAUGCAGAGGACGGGAAGUAUAAUCUAUUUUAUUCUGCGUUUACGAAGCCUCGUCAAACAAUGGGUUUGGAUCUAUUUUAGACUAUCCAGUCAAACAAGGAAGGUGGGUCUAUAUUUAAUAACAAAUCCUUUGCACUAAUAAGAUUUGCAGAAGAAAUCUGGUCACUGUACUUCCCUAUUGAACUUCCUGAUUACUAAACUGUACGAUAAAUGGUUGGUCCAUUAGUCAUUUCUUUGCUUCUUCAUGCAAUCAUUUAUUCAUUCAACAAAUAUUUACUUAGUGCCUGCUUUGUGCCAAGCAUGUAACAGGCUCCAAGCAACCAGAGUCUAACGCCAAUCUAUAGGUUUAUGAUAGUAUUAAUUUAUUAAAAUAUCUAGCUAGCUAGCAGUCAUGGAUGUUUUGUUUUAAUAGUACAGAGGGAUGCAUAUUAAACAUGCCACUUUUAAUUGUUACAUGGGAAAUUGAUGAAUAAGGAAUGAAGUGCCUGAAAGUCAAUUAAUUUUAUUACGGAAAUCAUGAGUAUCAUUGGGAUACAGUGCUGGGGUAAGAGCUCAGGUUCAGGAGAGCAAAUUCAGGUAAUUUAAGGGAGAACCUGAAAACUCGCCAAGAGCUGUACAGAUUUUCACACUUAGCACAUACAGAUUUCAGGGGACAACUCUGGUAACCCUAAAACGUGUAAAACCCAUAGAAGACAUUCUCCCGCCUUGGACACUGAGGACACUCCAUAAAGACUCAGCGGGGAUGAGGUGUCAAGUGGAGGCUUCCUCCCCUCCUCACUAAGGGCUUCUCUUGCUUCAGUUGCUGUCACCGUCAGCGGCUACCGGAGCUGAAGGAAGAGGCUCUGAGUGUGCGCGACUGAUUCACCUUAUACCUCGAGAGGCGUGCUCUGCAGGCUGCGUGCAAAGCACACUUCUGCCCGGAAACUUAUUUUAAAAGCACUCGGAAAAGCAGCUUCUAGUCAUCAAAAUAUUAAUAAUUCAGUAAAUGGCACGCUUAGACUCACUGGUUCCCAACCUUUUUCCCUCUCCAGACCUGACGUCUUAUUGGCCAUGCCUCCCAGGGACACAAGCCAGGAGCACCCAGAGUCAUCAGCAAUUCCCUGAGACAGAAAGCUGCUCCUUCCCCCCCGCUACUCCUCAGCCGCUCUCCAGCAGAGCCUUCUGAGAUGCAACUGAGAGUGAAGUGACUAGGCCCAAAGCCUUGAAUCGGAGCUAGUUUAUACACAAAGCAAUCACCUGUAAACGUUAGCAAUCUGUUAUAUUUACUUGGGAAAACAUUCACAACCGAUCUAGCACCCAUCACUGCAGCAACGUGGGCCACUCAUUCAUUUAUUUUUACAUGUAAUCUAGAUAAAUGAAUAUGCAGAUUAACUUAGCGGUACUGCAGUAGGAAUGUUUCAAUUGUCAGAAUAAAAUGGCAAACAUUUCUGAUUAUAACUAUACCUAAACCCAGGAUAUGGUGCCUAAUUAUGGGUCCGGUCUUUUGUGUGGUUACUUACAUUUGUACCUCUAGAUGCGUGGUGCAAGGAAUCAAGCUGAAUCUACACUGAGAACACGGCAUAACUGGAACACUGUUUAUCUGACACUCCGAUUUUAUAACUGGACAGGGUACAAGCCAGUCAUUAGCUGAGCCUUUCAGUUAUUUUGGUGGCAAGUUAGUAAUAUUUACCUAGACUGCAGAGAAAGUGAUGCAGCGAAUGUUCAAGGUUUAAGACACAUUUUCACUGGGACCUCAAUAUUAAAAAGCCCUCAACAGUGCUGUUGGUAUAUAUUUGGUUAGCAUCUAUUAUAGGGUUUUGGAAAUAAAAAUCAAUAUUUAACCAAAACAUUUUAUUUGGCAAGCAGCAAACCAAAGGUCUAAGUAGACAAUACACUAAACUGUACAACACAGUUAAGUCUCUCACUUUUCUUUCCUUCCUUAAGAAACAAAAUUCUGUCAUAAAACUAGUACUAAAUCAUGUUAAUGCCCACCUCAACGGCCUUACAUAAACUGCCUGAUACUUCUCUCCAUAGUUUAGUGCUUUUAAAAUUUUACUGUACAGGGACUUCCCUGGCGGUCUGGUGGUUGAGACUUUGCUUUCCAGUGCAGGGGGUGAGGGUUCAAUCCCUGAUCGGGGAGCUAAGAUCCCACAUGCCUAGUGGCCAGAAAACCAAGACAUAAAACUGAAGCAAUAUUGUAACAAAUUCAACAAAGACAUUAAAAAAAUUUUUAUAAAUAAAUGAAAUUUUACUGUACAAUAUGAAAUUUUAUGGUAGGUUUUCUUAAAGUAGGAGACUACUCACAAUUACUCACGUUUCUAUUUUGUGCAUUAAAAAAAAAUCCUACAAUCAAAAGUAAGGAAGAAAAUCGAAUCCAAGCCUUUCAGCAGAUGUUUUCCCUCUCUUGAGGGUUUGGCAGAUAGAUGUAUAUUCUCUUUUACUUGUUUACGAUACCUUAAGGUAUAUCACUACAUUUUCCACAAUGAACCCAGAAAUAAGAAGCAACAGGAGGGACUUCCCUGGUGGCGCAGUGGUUAAGAAUCCGCCUGCCAAUGCAGGGGACACGGGUUCAAGCCCUGGUCCAGGAAGAUCCCACAUACCGCAGAGCAACUAAGCCCGUGCACCACAACUACUGAACCUGCGCUCUGGAUCCCACGAGCCACAACUACUGAGCCCGCGAGCCACAACUACUGAAGCCCACGUGCCUGGAACCUGUGCUCCACAAUGAGAGAAGCCACCGCAAUGAGAAGCCCGCACAGCGCAGCGAAAAGUAGCCCCCGCUCGUCGCAACUAGAGAAAGCCCGCGUGCAGCAACGAAGACCCAACACAGCCAAAAAUAAACAAACUAAUUAUACAAAAACAAACAAACAAACAAACAAAAAAACCCAGAAGUAACAGGAGUCUUCUCCACAGCCUACUAUCAAAUUUUUCUCAAGGUCACAGAAGAUCAGUAAGACUUCAGUGAGAACUACUGGGGUGGUCAAAUUAGUCAAGCAUGAAUUAGCAAAGUUCUACAGUAAUUUGAUUUUAAAGCUUAUUUCCUUGUAAUAUUCAAGAUGAUGCUCAGCUGUAAAUGAAUCUGGAAUAUGAACUAGGCACAUGAUUAUUGCCUUUUUCUUGCGUUAUUCUGUUUUUUGUUAGUGGUUGUAAGAGUAUCCUUCCCACCAUCUGUGUUAGGAAGAGCAAACGGGUUUUGCCCUUACCUUACUCAUCGUUCUUCCAAGCAAAACACAGACAUGGGCACACACACAACUUAUAUAAAAGGACACUCACCACAAUUAAAACCCCAACACAAUGAGUCAACUGCCUACCAAGUCUGAUGUUUUCUAUUGGACAAAACAUAAUGCAUAAGGAAGCAAAUGGAAAUUUGCCCUACAAAACUGUUAGACCUCAUUCUGCAAAACUAUGUAUCAAAUAUUUAUGUGUAGCCUAAGAACAUGAAAAGCAGUGUGAACAGAGGUGUAGAUUCUGCUAUGUAAAGUCAGAACUUAAUUACUUCAAUUUAUUCAGAUGCCUUGUAGUACAGACGUGAACUCAUGGUCAUGAGGGUAAAUGUCACCUUGCAGGGCUGACGGCCCCUGUAGGAUCCCUACCCACAAUUUCACACAGCGGACUCCACGGGCAGGAAGCACAUACUGGAGGAGAUACGUAUAUUCCACUUUCUUUCCUCUUGUGGAUUUAUUUUACAUAAACUUACUUCCACUCCAUAUUUUAAACACAAUUGCUGACCAACGCUUUGUCCUCUAUUUGUAAGUCAAGCAUGCAGUUGUCUGAAUUCUUUGGCAGAGGGCAAGCAAAAAUAAAUGAGACUGGAAUUUCACGCUGGGUUAAGAGCUGCCUUUUUGAUCAUACAGACCUUUAUUAAGCUCCUUAGCAUUUGUACAGGAUAAAGUUAAAUGAGGACAAAGUUAAACCUGAACAGUGUCAAACUAGAAGUGUCCAGUAAAAAAGUCAUAGAAGGAAAUGUUUUAAAACAGCUCUUCUAGUUCUUCAAUUAAAUAUUAUCAGCAUAUUAAAUUCCUUUUGUGUAAAUGUUAGCCUGCAGUUGCUCAUUCUGGGCCAAUAAAAAGGUUAUAUCAUUAUUGUCACAGAACAAUCCAAUGUUCUCAUAUAUGCUUGGCCUCCUGGGAAAAAUUCUAUUGGCCCCCAUACAUGACCCUCAAACCAUGGAAAUUUCCAAAUGCAGGUGAUGCAUGAGGAACAGCUCAUGUUUUCAUCACUGCAGCUCCAAUGUCCAGCAGAGCCCUUAGUGGUGUCCCAUAUUCGACUGCUUACCCAAACUGACCUGUCUCAAUUAGCACUACCGCAUGCGAUGCGUCACCAAGGCAACAUUCCAAGCUGCUGGGAUUAUCAUUACCUUUAGGAAAUCCUCAGUGUGCUGGGCUUCACUCUUCCACAUACGGAAACAGGUUGUUUUCUGCUAGGGACCACUGUGUCCAUGAGAUAAAGAGUAUAGACUACAUAAGGACUGUUAAUUAUUUUCAUAGGAUGCCUUUCUCUUUAAGACACCAUCCACUGACAGAGGUCUGUGACAAAAUUAAGUGCAAACAAGUUAACAAAAUUAAAAUUAAUUAAUUUUAUAUGAGGUAUAUAAAGUAUUUUUUAAAUACUUUAUAUAAAACU